UCUCCGUUGGUGAACCAGCGGAAGGAUCAUUACAGGACUCGCAAGACUCCUUCACCCUGUGAACCUCACUACAAGCACGUUGCUUCGGCGGGUGUCCCGGCGGGGGUUUUCCCUCGCCGGGGCGCACAGCCCGCCGGCAGCCUACUAUACUCUGUCUCUUUGCGUUGGCAUCUCGAGAAAAAACAAACAAGUUAAAACUUUCAACAACGGAUCUCUUGGUUCUG
rnacentral:misc_RNA from 1 species